CGGGCCUUGUACACACCGCCCGUCACACCACGAGAGUUUGUAACACCCGAAGUCGGUAGGGUAACCUUUAUGGAGCCAGCCGCCGAAGGUGGACAGAUAAUUGGGGUGAAGUCGUAACAAGGUAGCCGUAUCGGAAGGUGCGGCUGGAUCACCUCCUUUCUA
rnacentral:rRNA from 1 species